ensembl:lncRNA
GAGGCAGCGACCGUCAGCUUGUCUCGCGCAGCACACUUUUUUCAGUAGUUCACGCUCUCUUCUAGUGUGCGUCACAUCGUUGCGUCUCCUGUCAGCCGCAGUUGCGCUGAAGCCGUAUACUCCAGUUGACUGAAAUAAAGGUCUACCCGAGUCUCAAAAGAGGAUUCAAGAACAAGGAUAAUAUUUGAACCAUAAUGCCAAAACUGGUUAAAAUGGUUUCAACCGGGGAUUCAAAAGACGUGUCAAAGUCAUCACAGAGCAAUGGACAUCACACAUCACAAAUAUUUCAUUGUUUAACAACCCUCGUAUGUUUCAUGCUGUCGGCGUCUUCGGUGGCAGUUUGUCUGUUUAUGAACGUCAAAACAUCUCAUCUUGAGCGUAAAAUUGAGCUUCUGGAGAUGGAGCGACUGUCUGUGAUUCAGCCUGCGCACGCGACUCUGGAUGCGAUAGAGAAACUUGUGCAAGAGAGACUCAGAGAGGGAGUGUCGAGAAUUCGCACAGCUCGAGAAGCAGCGCAAGAGUGCUCGUGUCCUCCAGGUUUGUUCCUCUGCAUGAGUCUGGGAUGUUUUACCUUCUUUUCCCUCCUAAAACGAUCAACUGAGGCAUAUUUACUCUAUUUUUAUCACGAAAUCUGAACUAUGCCUUAAAUUGGGUCAAUAUAAAUGAUGCAGC